rnacentral:tRNA from 1 species
GCGACUAUAGUUUAGUGGCAGAAUACAAGGCUGUGGCCCUUGAGGCAGGAGUUCAAUUCUCCUUAGUUGCC